CGUAGCUCAAUGGCAGAGCAUCCGACUGUUAAUCGGACGGUUGCUGGUUCGAGUCCAGCC
rnacentral:tRNA from 6 species